rnacentral:lncRNA from 1 species
GAACAACUAUCCUGAGCUGCUGUUCGUGAUUCAGGUUGGCAUCAAUCAAAUUGGAAGCACAUGAAUUAUACAUUAUUGUUUCUGAGCCACAGUUAUCUUCUACAGCACAUCUUUUGAGUAAAGACAUGCAAGUAGUACUGAAACGACUGCAAUGUGAUAAUCAUGGAGACUGGACUGGUUCAACAUCCAGAUGUUUCGAUUUUUUUGAUAAAUCAAUCUCCAAGGUUCAGCUCAUUCACAGUGUGAGGCUACUUACCUGUUCAAAGUACUUCACUUUUGUCCUCCAGUUUUCAUAUUGGCUUCCUGUCAAGAUAAGACAUCAUAAAGAAAAUAACACAACUUUUCUAAAGGUCAGUGGGACAUCACAGAAAAAUGAUGUAUCAAGACCUUCGGUUAAUCAAAUUAAUGAGGCAGGACGAAGAUAGUCCCUG